GACGAACGCUGGCGGCGUGCCUAAUACAUGCAAGUCGAACGCAGUGGGGACGGGUGAGUAACACGUGGGUAAACUCCCAUCAGAGGGGAUAACACUUGGAAACAGGUGCUAAACCGAUACUGAUGGAUGGACCGGCGGGGCAUUAGCUAGUUGUUGAGGGAACGGCUCACCAAGGCAACGUUGCAUAGCCGACCGCAGAGGGUGAUCGGCCACACGGGGACUGAGACACGGCCCAGACUCCUACGGGAUGCAGCAGUAGGUAAUCUUCCACAAUGAACUAAAGUCUGAUGGAGCAACGCCGCGUGAGUGAAGAAGGUUUUCGGAUCGUAAAGCUCUGUUGUUGGUGAAGCGGUAAUCAACCAGAAAGUCACGGCUAACUACGUGCCAGCAGCCGCGGUAAUAC
rnacentral:rRNA from 1 species